rnacentral:rRNA from 1 species
ACAGAGGUCUCAAGCGUUGUUCGGAUUCAUUGGGCGUAAAGGGCGCGUAGGCGGGCCCGCAAGUCGAUCGUGAAAUCCUUCGGCUCAACUGAAGGGGGUCGGUCGAUACUGCGGGUCUUGAGGGAUGCAGAGGAGACUGGAAUUCCCGGUGUAGCGGUGAAAUGUGUAGAGAUCGGGAGGAACACCGGUGGCGAAGGCGGGUCUCUGGGCAUCUCCUGACGCUGAGGCGCGAAAGCGUGGGGAGCAAACGGGA